rnacentral:rRNA from 1 species
ACGUAAUAGAUACCCCGGUAGUCCACGCCCUAAACGAUGUCUACUAGUUGUUGGUGGGAGUAAAAUCCAUGAGUAAAACGCAGCUAAACGCGUGAAGUAGACCGCCGUGGGGAGUACGGUCGCAAGAUUAAAACUCAAAGGAAUUGACGGGGGCCCGCACAAGCGGUGGAUUAUGUGGAUUAAUUCGAUGCAACGCGAAAAACCUUACCUGGCCUUGACAUGCCACUAACGAAGCAGAGAUGCAUUAGGUGCCCGUAAGGGAAAGUGGACACAGGUGCUGCAUGGCUGUCGUCAGCUCGUGUCG